UACGAAGGGGCUAGCGUUGUUCGGAUUUACUGGGCGUAAAGCGCACGUAGGCGGAUCUUUAAGUCAGAGGUGAAAUCCCAAGGCUCAACCUUGGAACUGCCUUUGAUACUGGGGAUCUUGAGUCCGGGAGAGGUGAGUGGAACUGCGAGUGUAGAGGUGAAAUUCGUAGAUAUUCGCAAGAACACCAGUGGCGAAGGCGGCUCACUGGCCCGGUACUGACG
rnacentral:rRNA from 1 species